UUAAACCCAUUUGCCCCCUCUGGAUCUGUGUGGCAAGGUAAGGGAAAAAGGGGCUACUUGGCUCCCACACUGGCCCUCUGUGCAUCCUGACGGACUGGGAGGACUCCUCUGCUCCUCUCCCUCGCACUCAGCUCUCACAGUCUGUGUCUCGCCGCUGCGGAGGACACGGAGGAGGGGAGGCCGGCCCGGGAGGAAGACACCAAAAGGGAAACACUCUCAACCAGCAUCCUGGGUAUAAAUUUGCAAAACGCAAUACAGGCCUGAUUGUGUGUUGAGUGGAUGCGGGGUGCAUACGAAUAGACCCUGGAACCCCUUCCUCUCUACUCCUCCAAAUAGUACCUCCCAACCACUACCCCCAUCUCUUCUUAAGCUGCCAAAUCAUGAAGCUACAGUCAUCAGAAGGACUGAGGCUGUGAGAAUCUGAAUGGAGCGGCUGGGAACAAGUGAAGCCUUGGCACUGACACCAGGUCAGCUCGAAGCCCCCUCACAGCCCAGCCCUCAGCACCAGGAGGAAGUCGGAUGCCUGGGAGGAAAAGAAGUGGCAUGCCAAAAACACAUUAAUCCUCAUGUUCAAUUUGCACGUGAGUUCUAUUAUUAGGUCUCCUGUUGCUGAGAAAUGUGGGGGGAAAUUUACACAGGAAUUUAUACAUACAAAUUACAACAUGUCAUAUUCAUAGAUGUAUGCUUUAUUACAUCAGAUCUACAGUAUAUUUAGGCCUCAGAGGCCUUGAUACAGACACAUGAUGCUAACUCAUGCAUUUCAGCAGAGCUCCAUACAGAUAUACAGUAUGUGAUAAAUGAGACUUAGCAACCAAUCAAAACCAAACAAGACAAAAAUGUCUGGCAGAAGUUGUGUGUUUUUUGUCAAAACCUGGUGCCUACAUUGCCCACAAUGCAACAGUUCAGUUGGUGAUUUGCUUGUGUUAUGCUGUUUCUAAUGUGGCAUCAAGUGGCCUACAGAGGUGUGUUAAUAUCUCUUUGCUUUCACUCCAUGUUCUUUUCUUAUUGUUAAAUCUGUAUUGACUAAAGUCCAACAUGGGCCGAAUCAUUUGCACUGUUUGUACAGC